rnacentral:lncRNA from 10 species
UCCUCCCGCCGUGUGUGAAAACACAAAUGGCGUAUUCUGGUUGGAGUAAAGCUCCUGUCAGUUACGCCGUCGGGAGUACGCAGCCGCUUAGCGACUCUCGCGUUGCCCCCUGGGUGGGGCGGGUAGGUAGGUGGGGUGUAGAGAUGCUGGGUGUGCGGGCGCGGCCGGCCUCCUGCGGCGGGAGGGGAGGGUGUGGAAACAGGAAGAGAACUAGAACUGGAAGUAAAGCAUUGAAGAUGUGACUGAAUUGCUGCAAUCUCAUGAUCAAAUUUGAAUGGAUGAGGAGUUGCUUUUUAGGGAUGAGCAAAGAAAGUGGUUUCUCGAGAUGGAAUCUACUGGUGAAGUUGCUGUGAACAUUGUUAAAAUGCCAAUAAAGGAUUUAGGAAUUACAGAAACCUGGUUGAUAAAGCAGUGCCAGGGUGUGAGAGAGUUGACUUCAAUUUUGAAAUAAGUUCCACUGGCUGGGUGUGGUGGCUCACACCUGCAAUCCCAGUACUUUAGGAGGCCGAGACUGGUAGAUCAUUUGAGGUCAGGAGUUCAAGACCAGCCUUGCCAACAUGGUGAAACCCCACCUCUACCAAAUUAGCCAGGUGUGGUGCACACCUGUAGUCCCAGCUACUUGGGAAGCUGAGGCAGGAGAAUCUCUUGAACCAGGGAGGAGGAGGUUGCAGUAAGCCGAGAUGGCGCCCCUGCACUCCAGCCUGGGUGACAGAGUGAGACCUUGCGUUUAAAAAAAAAAAAAAAGGAAAAGGAAAAAAAAGUUCUACUGUGGGUAAAAUGCUAUCAUGCUAUCAAACAGCAUCACAUGCUACAGAGAAGUCUUGUGAAAGGAUGUCAGUGUGGCAAACUUCAUUGUCUUUUAAGAAAUUGCCACAGCUAUCGUAAUCUUCAACCACCACCACCCUGAUGAGUCAGUAGCCAUCGUUAACGUUGGCGUAAGACCCUCC